AUGGUGGGAGUGGCCGCCCCCAGAGCCGAGGGGAUACACAGUUGUCAUCGGAGCCCCCGGAGACCAGUGGCAUUCUCAGCCCCCACCAGCCAGCCCUGCAACUCUGCACCACGUCCUGUCCCCUCAGGAGAGCGCCCGUGGGACAGCACCCAGAUGUCUCUGAUGUCCUCCUCUGAAGGCCGCGUGGCCACCUCUUCAUGCGGUCCCCUGGGAGAUGUCCUCGGGAAGCCCGACAGGGACGCGGCGGUGCUCUCGGCCCCAACCCCACGCUGCCCCUUGCCGCAGGACACAUCCGCGGAGGAGGCGGAGACUGAAAAGCAUCAGCCCGUCCAGAGCGUGCGGGACGCCUGGAGGAAGGACGUACAGGCUGGGGAGCCCUCAGGCGUCUCAUCCCGGGGCCGGCUCCCAGCAGCAUCUGCCAGCAGCGGGCACCGCCAGAGGAAACUAGGCAUGGCCCUAGCCUGCCCCUGCCGCCACCGCUACCACUGCUGUGGGGUCGCGGGGACUUGCCCCCACCCCCUAAGCUUCCUUGCGUUGCCACCGACAAGGACCUGGGCCCCUUGCAGAACAGCGAGUGUCCGGGGAACGACACCUGGAAGGACAGAGCACAGACCCUGGCCGACCGCGGGCCGCUCAGCCUGCCCCUUCCUCCCCACUGGCCUCGGGGACGCAGGCUCUCCGCCUCCGGCCGCUCACGCUUCCCACGUCCGGGUGCCUCCCACCGACGGGGCUGACCCUCCUGCCAGGCCCGGAUCCUAUCUGUGCCUCCGUGUUCCCCAACACAGCGUGGUGGUCGGGAACCAGGACGUGUCCUUCCUCAAUCUCCUCCUCUUGCUGUUCCUGCUGAUUCUCUUCCUCCCCUUAGUUCCAGAGCCAUCGGGGAAACUCCGCUUCAGGGAGCUCCUCUUCCACCAGGCCGCCCAGGACAGCUCCCUCUGGCCGCCCCACACCUCCUACCACCUCGGCCUCCUUACACCCGCCUCCUGCACAAAAGCAUCCCCAAGCCCUGUGUGUGUAGACUCUGCCCCGCUCUUCCUGACAACCCCUCUUCCAGGCCACUCCACAGAGGGCUCCGUCGUCGGAGUCCAGCCUGGCCCCUCUAAGCCGACUUCUACCAUGGCAGCAAAGUCAUCUACUCUGACCCCCAAGCCGAUUUCACGUCCUGCUGUCGUGGACGUGGACACUGCGCCUGCUUCCCGGGCUGUCCUCAGCGCGCCCCCACACCGCAGGAUGAGCUGUCCUCCCUGUUCCCGGGGCCGCGGCAGUGUGACGCAGAGGUGCCCUGCGAAAGUGGCAGCAUCCACCAGUGCACCGACAUCGAUGGCCCCGGCCCCACCCCACGUCAUCAACUCUUCGGCCUCCACAUCACCCCUCAGCCCACACAGGGGACUCUUGCUGGGAGGCAGCAAACAGCUUUUCUUCCCGGUGCUCCUAUCGCCAUUGGCUUGCCCAACCUCAGUUCUGGAGCCACCACCACCCCAGGAGGCANCAUUUUUUACAAGGCACUUCCAGGUUCUGGCAACGCACCACCUAGUAGCAGCACUGCCUUGGCCCACGGUUCUACCAAUUUACCUAAAGUCAGCCNUCUCCACACUCCUCAUUCUACCACGACUGGCUUUGGAGGUCCGACUGGGAACACCAGCUCAUCACUCACAGCUACUACCACAGGCCUUGGUGGGGUCUGCAGUCCCCAGUGGCCCACGACUCACGGCUACCACUGCAGGCCCACAGGCCUUUGUGGGGUCUGCAGUCCCCAGUGGACCACCCAUCACAGCUAACACUACAGGCCCACAGACAUUUGUGGGGCCUGCGGUCCCCAGUGGGCCACCCCUCACGGCUACCACUACUGGCCCACAGACCUUUGUGGGGCCUGCGGUCCCCAGUGGGCCACCCCUCACGGCUAACACGACAGGCCCACAGGCCUUUGUGGGGUCGCAGUCCCCAGUGGCCCACCACUCACGGCUACCACUACUGGCCCACAGGCCUUUGUGGGGUCGCAGUCCCCAGUGGCCCACCACUCACGGCUACCACUACUGGCCCACAGGCCUUUGUGGGGUCGCAGUCCCCAGUGGCCCACCACUCACGGCUACCACUACUGGCCCACAGGCCUUUGUGGGGUCGCAGUCCCCAGUGGCCCACCCCUCAUGGCUAACACUACAGGCCCACAGACCUUUGUCGGGCCUGGAGUCCCCAGUGGCCCACCACUCAUGGAUACCACUACAGGCCCACAGAUGUCUGUGGGGCCUGCGGUCCCUGCUACCACUACAGGCCCACAGACCUUUGUGGCGCCUGCAGUCCCCAGUGGCCCAUCCCUCACGGCUAACACUACAGGCCCACAGACCUUUGUGGGGCCUGCAGUCCCCAGUGGCCCACCCCUCACGGCUAACAUUACAGGCCCACAGACCUUUGUCGGGCCUGGAGUCCCCAGUGGCCCACCCCUAA
ensembl:lncRNA